CAUCCUCUAAUUAGAAAUUUUUAUACUGCUGAUGUGAGAAAUUUUGGGCCAAUUUUCCCCCGUCUCCCUUUCACACCUUGUGGCCAGCAAAGGACAAUCGAUAAUCUUAAGAUAUUCAAGGGAGGAGGGCAGCCCUUCUUCUGGCAUGAACUCAAGCUUAGGAGAAUGCGAGAUCAACAAUUUGCGAAGAGAGGUGAAGUGUUGAAGCCCCGUAUAGUUCAGAGAUUUAAGAUUUCUGAGAUCUGAGAUUUGAAGAGAUUCAAGGGAGGAGGGCAGCCCCUCACCUGGCACGGACUCAAGCUUGGGAGAACUAGAGAUACGUAAUUUACGAAGGGAGGUGAGGUGCCGAAGCCCCUUAUAUUCCAGAUCUUCAAGAUUCAAGAUUUCAAGGUUUUCAAGGGAGGAGGGAAGCAUGUCUUCUGGAAGGGACUCCAGCUUAGGACUCUUGAGAAUCAAUGUGCGAAGAGAGGUCAGGUGCUGAAGCUCCUUGUAGUCCCGACCUCGUUGAUCCCAUAAUUGAAGGCAUUCAAGGGAGGGAGGCAGCCCCUGCAACGAUGCAAGCUUUGGACAAUUCCAGAUCUUCAAUUUGCGAAGAGAGGUGAUGCGCUGAAGCCCCAUGGAUCCAGAGAUUCCAGUGUCAUGACAUGAAGGUAUUCAAGGGAGGAGGGAAGCGCCUGCUCUGAUAUGGACUCAAGCUUAGGGCAACCCUCGAUACUCAAUUUCCUAAGAGAGGUGAGGUGAUGAAGCCCCUUAUAGUCAAGAGACUUCAGAUUUCCCAGACGUUUGAUUUUAAGGGUUGUGAGAGUAGAGGGCAACGUCUCCUCGUCAAAAGACUCCACAUCGUUCCCAGUAAAUCUGAAGCAUGAAAGAGAAGGGAGUGCUUGCAAACCACAUACCUUGAGCUUGAUACAAUCCACAAUGCAAAGUGUGUGUAAUUUGGAGGGUAAACCUCCUUCAGGAAACGAAUCAACUUCUGGAAGUGAUCUCAAUUGCAAAUCCUCAAGGGAAGGGAGGAGGGAAUGCAUGUUUUCUGGCAAAGACUUCAAAUAUAAGCAACCCUCUAACACAAGGCUUGUCAAAUCUGGGGCAGCUAGUCCUCCUCGGGGGAAAGACACCAAAUUAGGACAGUGUCUGACAGUCAAAUGACGGAGAGCAGGAAGAGAUCUCUCGCCUAUACAAAGAGAUUCGAGAUUGAGACAUUGUUUGACUGUAAGUGUGGAUACCUGGGGUAAAAGGUCUAGCCGGCAGGAGUUAAAUGAACUACAUCUAUCGAUUUCAACAUCUGUGAAAGAAGAGGGAUCCACAUGACUCAUUUGCUCCAUUCCCUUUAGUUGGGGAUAUUCUCUAAAUUGAAGGCACCGCCCACCGCCAUAUAAUACCGAUGCAUUUAUACGACCACUAGAACCAUCAAAUACAUUGAUUUCGGUGAGCAGUGGAGCCUCUGGAAUUGAAACCACAAGCUGUGGACACGCUCUAAUCUCAAGUAUCAAUAAAGAAGGAAGGUGAUUAGGCAAGCCAUUUGUUAACUCGGGACAACCUGCUAUCAAGAGCUUUGCAAGAUGAGGGAAAGCACCAGCUACAUCUGUAUUCCAUUCCUGCCAUUUUUUCAUCCCCUCGAACUUUAAUAUUUUGAGGGAUUUAAAUGGCUUCUCCAUCGAAGAGUCACUUCCAUAGAACUCAGAGCCAACUGCCACGACUUCAUCAAAUCCUUUAAUUUGGAGCUCUUCUAGAGAUGAAAGCUGCCCCAGUGGUGGUAAGGAGAUGCAGUUCUUACAUCCAGAAAGUGUCAACGCUACCAUAUUUGAGAAGGAAGAGUUUCCAAACCAACCUGGAAACAUCGUACCCCCAUAACCAGUAAUGACAAGCUGUUUCACAUUUUCAGAAGGCUCCAAUUUCUCAAGCACGUCUCUCUCAUGUUGUGUGUCAUCCGUAUUACCACCCCAUAUCAACCUCAGCUUCUCAAUCUUCUUCUUACCCUUCAAAUUGGCAUCCAAAGCAUCUUGAGCAUUUGCAACAUCUCUGAGAUUCCGAAUAGAAAGUUUUCUCCUUAUAUGUGAGAGCUUCCCCAGCUCUUUCAUGCUAGACCCACUCUCUUUUCCCACGACGUAAUAUUGCAAAGUUCGAAGCUUUGUGAGUUUCCCCAUUUUUGGUGGCAUCACUUUCAAAUUUGUCCCUUCAAUAUCAAGAUGUUGUAACUCGACCAAGUUCGAAAUGUUGGAUGGCAACUCCAUGAGAUGUCGACACUCUCUUAACAACAGAGUUUGCAGAUAGUACAAGGUGCUCACACUUUCGGCAACCGUUCAAUUAAUGUCUGAGAAAGGUCCAAGUGCCGCAAAUGUUUCAAGUUGCCGAUGGAAUUGGGCAAAUGAGAAGAUUUAUAGCUCCACCGAUAUAAAGAUAGCGUUCGCAAGCGCUUAAGAUUUGUCAACAUGUCAUUCAGCACCCCACUAUCAAUCCCCCCCACGUAUGUUAGUGGAGACAAGGUGCGCAAAUGUUGGACUCCAUGAAUGCGAGGAAAUAUCUUAGAGACCCCAUCACAUAGUGUUGAAGUGAUUGAUAAAUGACGAGUCCUUUCUGGAAGCGUGCAUGAAUUUUCACCCUCCAACGUAGUGCCCGAUUCUCCAUCCAUAACAAGUUUAAAGCAGAAUUCUCCUGACAUGUAUUCAGCUAGAUCACUUGUGAGGUCGUGCAUGCUGAAAUAUGAUGGGGCGUAAAGUGAUUGCUGAAACAGUGACCUAGAGACAAGGUCAUUGAAGUAUUUGUCACCUAUUUCUUCCAUCUCCUCAACACCUCUGGACUGGACUAGAAAACCUUGUGCCAUCCAUGAAGUGAUUACUUGAUUCUUCUCAAAUACAUAACCCUUGGGAAAUAUUGCACAAUAAGCAAAACAACGUUUGAGGUGUGAAGGGAGAUAAUAAUAGCUCAAUGUUAGAGCUGGAGGGAUGUUUUCAUUCGACAAACCCCACAUGUUGCUAUUGGAUAUCUUCUCCCAUUCCUUGACAUCUCCUUCGGAAUGCAAAAGACCCCCAAGAGUUUUCGCAGCCAGCGGUAAACCUUUGCACUUUCUCGCUAUUUCUCUGCCAAAUGUUUCCAAGUGUGAGAAUGCUCCAGAAUUUGCACUGCUAAAUGCAUGCCUUGCAAACAACUGCCAGCAAUCUUCAUCGCUGAUUACAUUCAAGCGGUGAGAGGGGAUGACAGUUUGCGUGACUUUUGCUACAUCUUCAUUCCGUGUUGUCACGACAAUCUUACUUCCAGGCUCUGCAUACUGCAAAGGUAGCAGUAAUUUAACCCAUUCAUUGUACACAAUGUUCCACGCAUCAUCUAGAACAAGUAGAAGUUUUUUCCCUUUCAAUGCCUCCAUUAGAGAUUCAUCUGGUUCUUUGGUGCCGCAAGUACCUGCGUUGAUCUUCUUAAGAAUAUCAUCAACUAUCCUGGUGACGUCAAAUUGUUGAGAAGCCCAGACCCAGGCUUUGAGCUCGAAGCACUCAUCUACCCUUCUGUCUUUGUAGAUAAGCUGAGCAAGAGUGGUUUUACCAACCCCUCCCAUGCCCACAAUAGGAAUCACACCUACAUUUGCACCAUUUGUAUUGUUUUUUGUCAACAAGUACUUCAUUAUGGCUUCCUUAUCAGCUUCCCUUCCAUAUACAUGAGAUUCAUCAACCACAGGAGUUGUUUUCUCUGACAAUGGUCUCCAUCCACCAGUACCUUCUAUGUGCGCAGAUCACCCUUGUGUUUAACUAAACGUUCAAGCUUCUCAUAGAUCUUUUGCAACUCUGCUUCCAUCUCUUUCAUCCUUUUAUUAGCUGGAUUAAGAAUUGGAAACAAAUUCCUUACCUGCAAUGGCGGAACAUAUCCAUGUAUAUGAGAUAGAAUUUAGGAACAUAUAAAUACUAAAAUUAUUAAACUCGUACCGAGUAAGUUAACACACAGAUGCAAUGAUGUUUUGUUUAUAAAAAAUUAAAAAAAAAUUAAAAUGAGAUUAUUUUCUUAAAAAAAUUAAGUCUAACCAAGAUUCUAAUGAGAUGAUAGGAUGGUGAAUUAACCCUCCAGGUUACUAAAAUUUGAAAGAUAAAUUCAGCAAUUAGCACAGUAAACAUAAAAAAGUGAUGCAAUGAUAUCGUUUGAAAAAACUUUUGAAAAAUAGUAUAUUUUCACCUUAUCACACCUAAGAAAAGCAAUAUUUACUAAAUUUUAUUAUUACUAAGCAUAACAAGAUAGUUGUCGUACUUUGAAUAGCAACAUUUAGUAAAUGUUGUGCUUUUAAAGAGCGACAAGGUGAAACUUCAAUCAUCUGACUCAAUUAAUUGACCUGUUCAUAAUGGUUAGUGAAAUCGAUCGACCGAUUAAAAUAUAAGAAAAAUCUCAAAAAUAUCAAAAUCAAGGGGCCUCGAUGAGAUUUUUGAUAUCUAGAGAUUUGAUAGUUUACAUAACGACAUAUUGGCUACAAUAGGGAAGAUGAUUUUUGAAAACUUCUAUAUAAGUUUGAGUGCGAUUUAACAGUCUAAUAAACAAUUAUAGCUUUUUUAGUCGUUAUUCUGGUCUGUCGGAACCAGAUCUCCUCUUGAGCCUUAAACUAUCUCCUCUUUGCACUUAAUUAAAUCCUUCAAUUUAAUCUAAAUUAAUUCUUAAACAUAAUUAAAAUUUAAUUUGGCCCAUGAUUAAAUCAAAUUGGCUCAUUAAAAAUUUAAUUACGUCAUUGGACUUAAUUUGUAUGCAAAUUCAUCCAAUAAUCAUUUAAUUUGACCUUCGAAUUUGCAUUUAAUUUGACCUUCGAUUUUUGUCUAUUUUUGCAGUCUUUUUUAUCAGCUUUUUCCAUAUUGCCAGCCUUUAUUUUAUUUAUUUUAUUUUUAUUUUUUUAAAAAAAGUGAAUUUUGAAGAAUAACCCAGAAUUGAGUUAUGACAAUCUUGAAAAAUUGCAUGAUGGAUUGAGGGUUAUGAACCGUUCAAAAACUAGACUCAAAUUCUCUGUGCAAUAUAAGAAUCUAAAGCUCGUAGAAAGAAGUAGGAAAAAAUAGCUAGAAAAGUAAGAGAAUGAAGGCAAAAAAAGUUGACAAGAUCUCUGUAAUAGCUCUGGAUCUAUUGCUUGGACCAAGGAUUAAAUAUAACAUUAUAGAUAAUCAUUGUGUCUGCUUCUACCAUUUCUUUUCACUUCUUCUUAAAGGUUAAAAGGCUAAAGGUGCAACUAGGGGUGAGCAAAGAAACCGAAAAACUGAUUAAACCGAGAAAACUGGAAAAAAUAUAACCGAAAAAACCGAAUCUAAAAAAAAAACCGAUCAAACCGAUUAGAAAAAUUAAAAAACAAGCCGGUUCGGUUCGGUUUCGGUUUUAAAAAGCUAAAACCGAAUAAACCGAACCGAACUGAACCGGUUCAAGUAAAAAAAAGUAAUAGUACUAUAAAUACCUACUUUUCAGCUUUCCCCUUCUCCUUUCUAAACCCUAGCUGCCACCCAUGUUUCAUAAUCUUCACCUCUCAACUCAGCCCCUACCCCAUCUUCACUCUCAACCUUGCCCCCACCCCCAUCUUCAUUGUCAACCUUUAUCGCCCAUGUUUCUCAAUCUUCAUCUCUCAGCCAUAGUUAUUAAACCCGGCCCGGCCCGGCGGGUCGACCCGGGACCCGGUCGACCCGGUGGCUGGACCGGUUCGGGUUUAAUAAAAGACCGGCUGUGGCAACAGCCCGGCCAAACCCGGGCGACCCGGGCAAACCCGGACGAGACCCGGGUUUUUUUUUUUUUUUUAAAUUUGGGAUAAAAAAAAUUUGGUUUAAAUAUUUCAACUUAAAAUGAUAACAUAGUAUCUUUUCAAUGUGGGGUUUGAAGCCCUUUCAUAUAUAUACUCUAUGUUCACAUGAAAAAAAUUAUAUUUUUUCAAUGUGGGAUUUAAAACCCAUUAGUAUAUAUACUCUAUGUUCCCAAGGAAAAAAUCAUGUUUUUUCAAUGUGGGAUAAAAAACCUUUUGGUUUAAAUACUUCAACUUAAAGGGAUAACAUAGUAUCUUUUCAAUGUGGGAUUUGAAGCCCUUUCAUAUAUAUACUCUAUGUUCCCAUGAAAAAAGUUAUGUUUUUUCAAUGUGGGAUUUGAAACCCAUUAGUAUAUAUACUCUAUGUUCCCAAGGAAAAAUUCAUGUUUUUCCAAUGUGGGAUAAAAAACCUUUUGGUUUAAAUACUUCAACUUAAAGGGAUAACAUAGUAUCUUUUCAAUGUGGGAUUUGAAGCCCUUUCAUAUAUAUACUCUAUGUUCCCAUGAAAAAAGUUAUGUUUUUUCAAUGUGGGAUUUGAAACCCAUUAGUAUAUAUACUCUAUGUUCCCAAGGAAAAAAUCAUGUUUUUCCAAUGUGGGAUAAAAAACCUUUUGGUUUAAAUACUUCAACUUAAAGGGAUAACAUAGUAUCUUUUCAAUGUGGGAUUUGAAGCCCUUUCAUAUAUAUACUCUAUGUUCCCAUGAAAAAAGUUAUGUUUUUUAAACCAAAAUGUUUUUUAUCCCACAUUGAAAAAACAUGAUUUUUUCUUUAGGAACAUAGAGUAUAUAUACUAAUGGGUUUCAAAUCCCACAUCGAAAAAACAUAACUUUUUUCAUGGGAACAUAGAGUAUAUAUAUGAAAGGGCUUCAAAUCCCACAUUGAAAAGAUAUUAUGUUAUCCCUUUAAGUUGAAGUAUUUAAACCAAAAGGUUUUUUUAUCCCACAUUGGAAAAACAUGAUUUUUUCCUUGGGAACAUAGAGUAUAUAUACUAAUGGGUUUCAAAUCCCACAUUGAAAAAACAUAACUUUUUUCAUGGGAACAUAGAGUAUAUAUAUGAAAGGGCUUCAAAUCCCACAUUGAAAAGAUACUAUGUUAUCCCUUUAAGUUGAAGUAUUUAAACCAAAAGGUUUUUUAUCCCACAUUGAAAAAACAUGAUUUUUUCCUUGGGAACAUAGAGUAUAUAUACUAAUGGGUUUCAAAUCCCACAUUGAAAAAAUAUAAUUCAACUUAAAAUACUUCAACUUAAAAGCUUAACAUAAUAUCUUUUUAACGUGGGAUAAAAAACUUUUUAAAAUAUUAUUUUAAACUUGAUUAUUUAUAAUAUAUAUAAUCUAUAUUUACAUGAAUUUUUUCAUAUGAAAUAUUAAUUUUUUUUUAAUUAUUACGGGUUAAUCCGGGUCAACCCGGGUUGACCCAUGAAACCCGAGACCCAGCCCCUUGGCCGGGUCAACCCCCGGGCCGGGUUUAAUAACUAUGCUCUCAGCACAGCCCCCCCUCCCAUCUUCAUCUCUCAUCCCUCAACCUUUCUCACAACCCGCCAUCACAGCCCCCCAUCUUCAUCUCUUAUCUCUCAACAUUUCUCACAAACCCCCCUCAACAUCUUCAUCUCUCAUCUCUCUCAACCUUUCUUUAAGGCUUCAAGCAUAAUUUUUUUGUCCUUUUCUUUAAGCAUAGUCGACUAAGCUCCAUGGAUUAACAACCAAAUAGCAGCUCUAGAGCCUCCCUCUCUUCAAUCUUUAUCUCUUAAUUUUUGUCCCUGUUUAUUUUUUUUUCUGAUUUCUGUAGAUCUGUUAUGUAUUCAUUUUCUAUAUUUAUUUACAAGAAUGUUGAUUUGCCAUUCAUGUUGCGAUUACUGUAAUGGAUGUUGUGAUAAAUAUUUUUUUCAAAUUUUCGUUUGAAUCUUGUUCUUUUUGGCUUCCUGAUUUAGAAAACCUGCUUGGUAUGCUUGGCCAAGAUGCAAUCAGUUUUUUCCGGUUUUUUCUUUCAAUUAACCGAACCGAACCGAAAAUGGUCGGUUUGAACCGGUUUCGAUUCGGUUUCGGUUUUCAUUUAAAAAUAAAUAAAUAAAUUGGUUUGGUUAGUUUUUUUGGUGAAAACCGGACCGAACUGGAAAUGCUCACCCCUAGGUGCAACCAUUGUUUUCUUGUUUCAAGCAGGAAAUUUUUUUUGCCUAACAAAAACAUAUGUACCUCCUUUUGUUUCCACCAAAGACAAAAAAAAUAGUUGGGAUACUGACUCGAAACAUGCAUUUAUAUGAUCAUAAAUAAUAAAUGGUAGUCCAAAUCAUUAAAUAAAUGAGUUUUAGCUUAUGUUUUAAUUUAAUUUAUUUGAACUUUUAGUUGAAAUGUAUUAAUUAGAUAUUAUUUGUUGGGUUUGAUUUAAUUAUUGUUAGGUAUUUUAUUUAGUGGACUAUACACUUAAUUGUUUGUUCUAGUUUGGGUUUCAGUAUUUGAUAAGCUUUUUCUUCUCUUUAGUUGGCUUCCCUUUCUUUUCUCUCUUCUUUAACUUUAAAUCUCUUUUGUCUUGUAUCAAAUUUGGUAUUAGAUUAUUGUUCUUGGUGGGAUUAGAGUUUUUUCUUGAUAAAUGGUAGUCAAAUUUGGUAUUAGAGCGCAAGUACAAAACUAGUUACAUGGUAUAGUCAAACCACCUCCUAUAACAAAAUUAAGGGUGUGCUUGGGAAGGCGGUACAAAUCGUGUUCCCUCAAAUUUUAAAUUUUUUUUUAUUUUUGCUUUUUUAUAGUUUUUGAUCAUUUUGAUGUGUUGAUGUCAAAAAUAAUUUUAAAAAACUAAAAAACUUUUAUUUUACUACAUUUCUAAACAAAACAUCCUUUGAAUUGUCACUGCUAACAUAAUUUCAAACACAUUCUAAGGAUGCGUUUGUUUCCUAGAAAGUGGUUUUUUAAAAAAACAAUUUUUCAAACUUUCCUGUGUUUAUUUACCAUUACGAAAGUUGGUCAAUGAAAAAUACUUUUCGGUCAACGAAAAACACUUUCAUGUCAAAGGAAAAUUUAACUUGAUUUCUAGGAAAGUAUUUUCCUUUUAUUUUGGGUGGAAAACACUUUCUAAAAGUUGUGAAAAAUAUAAAAAUAUCAUAUUAUUUGCUGAUUAUGUCAAAUUUGGUCCUCAAACUUUUGAUUGUUAUAUAUUUUGUUCGAAUUUUUUUUCUUUCAAAUUCAUCCCUUAAAAUUUGAUUUAAUUUAAUUUUUAUAUUCACUUUGAUCCUUUUUUUUUAUGAUUGUUAUUUACUUUUCUCUUAUUAUUUUUAAAAUUGAAUUUUUUUUAUCUGUCAAAUUUGAUCUUCAUUCUUUUGAUUGUUACUUAUUUUAUUUAAAAUAAUUAAUAAAAUUAUAAUAAUUAUUAUUUUAAUUUCAUCAUCUUUCAAUUUUUUUAUCUGUUAAAUUUGAUCUCUAUUAUUUUAAUUAUUAUUUAUUUUAUUUGAGAUCAUUUAUGAACUUAAUUUUUUUUUAAUUCUAUUCUCAUUCAACUUUUUAGUUUAUAAAAUUUGUUUCUUAUUAUUUUAAUAAACUUGAAAUAAAAUAAAACAUUAAAAAGCUAUUUUCCGGCUCAUUUUCUAUAAUAUAACCAAACACUGAAAAGUGUUUUCCAAUUUUCUUUGCAUGAUACUACCAAAUAUUAAAAAAUAAUUAAUUUCUUGGAAUUCAUUUCUAAAAAAACUAUAUUUAAAAAAAAAACUAUUUUUCUACCAACAAACGAAGCCUAUGUAAACUAAGUAAACGACAACGUUUGAUAUCCCUAUAUCGGAAAGGGGUCAGCCAUUCUCUUGGCACGGACUCGAGCUUAGGACAAUUCGAGAUAAUCAAUCGGCGAAGAGAGGUGAGGUGCUGCAGCCCCAUUACAGAUUUCAGAUUUAUCAGACCUGAUAUUUGAAGAGAUACAAGGGAGGAGGGCAGCUUCUCUCCUGGCAUGGACUCGAGCUUAGGAGAACUACAGAUAUGUAAUUUACGAAGAGAGGUGAGGUGCUGAAACCCCUUAUAUUCCAGAUCUUCCAAAUCCCAGAUUUCAAGGUCUUCAAGGGAGGAGGGAAGGGUGCCUUCUUGAAGGGACUCAAGCUUAAGGCUCCUCCUUAUCUUCAUUUUGCGAAGAGAGGUGAGGUGCCGAAGCUCCUUGUAGUCCCGGUCUUGCUGAUUCCAUAAUUGAAGGAUUUCAAGGGAGGAAGGCAGCCCCUGCAACGAUUCAAGUUUAGGACAAUUCCCGAUCUUCAAAUUGUGAAGAGAGGUGAGGUGCUGAAGCCCAAUGUAGUCCAGAGAUUCCAGUUUACAGAGAUAAAGGCAUUCAAGGGAGGAGGGCAGCGCCUGUUCUGGAUAUGUGCUCAAGUUUAGGGUAACUCUCAAUACUCAAAUUUCUAAGAGAGGUGAGGUGAUGAAGCCCCUGGUAUUCAAGGGAGGAGGGCAGCACCUGUUCUGAUAUGAACUCAACUUUAGGGCAACUCUUGAUCUUCAAUGUGUCAAGAGAGGUGAGGUGAUGAAGCCCCAUGUAGUCCAGAGAUUCUAGAUUUCUGAGAUAAGGUAUUCAAGGGAGGAGGGAAGCGCCUGCUCUGAUAUGGACUCAAGCUUAGGGCAACCCUCGAUACUCAAUCUCUGAAGAGAUGUGAGGUGAUGAAGCUCCUUAUAGUCCAGAGAUUUCAGGUUUUCCAGACGAUUGAUUUCAAGGGUUGUAAGAGUAGAGGGCAACGUCUCCUCGUCAAAAGACUCCACAUCGUUCCCAGUAAAUAUGAAGCAUGAAAGAGAAGGGAGUGCUUGCAAACCACAUACCUUGAGUUUGAUACAAUCCACAAUGCAAAGUGUGUUUAAUUUGGAGGGUAAACCUCCUUCAGGAAACGAAUCAACUUCUGGAAGUGAGAUCAAUUGCAAAUCUGUAGGGAAGGGAGGAGGGAAUGCAUGUUUUCCGGCAACGACUUCAAAUAUGAGCAACCCUCUAACACAAGCCUUGUCAAAUCUGGGGCAGCUAGUCCUCCUUUGGGGAAAGACACCAAAUUAGGACAGUGACUGAUUGUCAGAUGACAGAGAGCAGGGACAGGUCUCUCGCCUAUACAAAGGGAUUCCAGAUUGAGACAAUGUUCAAUGGUAAGUGUGGAUACCUGGGGUAAAAGGUCUAGCUGGCAGCACUUAAAUGAACUACAUCUCUCGAUUUUGAUAAAAGUGAAAGAAGAGGGAUCCAAACGACUCAUUUGCUCCAUUCCCUUUAGCUGGGGAUCUUGUCUAAAAUGGAGGCACGGCGUGGAUGGUUGAUCUGAUAACCCAAACUGUCCUGUUAGCCCAUUUAUACGUCUUUCAUCGCCCUCAGAUACAUUGAUUACGCCGAGCAUGGGUGCCUCUGGAAUUGAAACCACAAGCUGUGGACAUUCUUGAAUAAAAGCUUCCAUAAACAAGGAAGGUGACUAGGCAAGGCAUUUGUUAACUUGGGGCAAUGUCUUAUGCGGAGCUCUGCAAGAUGAGGGAAAGCACCAGCUACAUCUGUUUUCCAUUCCUGCCAUUUUCGCAUCCCCUCAAACUUUAAUAUUUUGAGGGAUUUAAAUGGCUUCUCCAUCGAAGGGUCACUUCCAUAGAACUCAGAACCAACUGCCACGACUUCAUCAAAUCCUUCAAUAUGGAGCUCUUCUAGAGAUGGCAGCUGCCCCAAUGGUGGUAAGAGGAUGCAGUUCUUACAUCCAUAAAGAAACAACACUACCAUAUUUGAGAAAGAAGAGUUUCCAAGCCAGCCUGGAAACGUUGUACCCCGUAACCAGUAAUGGCAAGCUGUUUCACAUUUUCAGAAGGCUCCAAUUUCUCAAGUACUUCUCUCUCGUGUGGUGUGUCAUCCGUAUUGCCAUCCCACGUCAACCCCAACUCCUCAAUCUUCUUCUUACCCUUCAAAUCGGCAUCCAAAGCAUCUUGAGCAUUUGCAACAUCUCUGAGAUUCCGAAUAGAAAGUUUUUUCCUUAUAUGUGAGAGCUUCCCCAACUCUUUCAUGCUAGACCCGCUAUCUUUUCCCACGAUGUAAGAUUCCAAAAUUCGAAGCUUCGUGAGUUUCCCCAUUUUUGGUGGCAUCUCUUUCAAAUUUGUCCCUUCAAUAUCAAGAUGUUGUAAGUCGACCAAGUUGGAAAGGUUGGAUGGCAACUCCAUGAGAUGUCGGCACUCUUUAACAAUAAGCUUUGCAAAUAGUACAAGGUGCACACACUUUCAGGUAACCUUUCAAUGGCGGUGCAAGAAAGGUCCAAGUGCCGCAAAUGUUUUCAAGUUGCCAAUGGAAUUGAGCAACUGAGAAGAAAUAUCUUUUAGAUGAAUAAAGAUAGCAUUCGCAAGCGCUUAAGAUUUGGCAAGAUGUCAUUCAGUGCCUCAUAUCACUUCCCUUAAAAACAUAGUGGAAACAAGGCGCGCAAAUGUUGGACUCCAUGAAUGCUACGAAAUAUCCGAAGUCCUCGUCAUAUGCUCCUGAAGUGAUUGAUAAAUAACGAGUCCUUUCUGGAAGCGAGCAUGAAUGUUCACCCUCCAACCCAGAGCCCGAUUCAUUAAUACCAAGCUUAAAGCAAAAUUCUCCUGACACGUAUUCAGCUAAAUCACUUAUGAUGUCAUGCAUGCUGAAAUCUGAUUGAACAUGAAGUGAUUGCUGGAAAAGUGACCUGGAGACAAGAUCAUCAAAGUAUUUUUCACCUAUAUCUUCCAUCUCCUCAACUCCUCUGGACUGGCCUAAAAAACCAUGUGCCAUCCAUUCAGUGAUUAAUCCAUUUUUCUUGAAUACAUAACUCUUGGGAAAUAUUGCACAAUAAACAAAACAACGUUUCAGGUGUGAAGGGAGAUAAUAAUAGCUCAAUGUUAGAGCUGGAGGGAUGUUUUCAUUCGACAAUCCCCACAAACUGCUAUUGGAUAUCUUCUCCCAUUGCCUGACAUCUCCUACGGAGUGCAAAAGACCCCCAAGAGUUUUCGCUGCCAGCGGUAAACCUUUGCACUUUCUCGCUAUUUCUCUGCCAAAUGCUUCCAAGUGUGAGACUGCUCCAGAAUUUACACCACUAAAUGCAUCCCUUGCAAACAAUUUCCAGCAAUCUUCAUCGCUUAUUACAUCCAAGCGGUGAGAGGGGAUGACUGUUUGCGUGACUUUUGCUACAUCUUCAUUCCGUGUUGUCACGACAAUCUUACUUCCGUGCUCCACAUACAGCAAAGGUAGCAGUAGUUUAUCCCAUUCAUUGUACUUAAUGUUCCACGCGUCAUCUAGAACAAGUAGAAGUUUCUUCCCUUUCACUGCCUCCAUUAGAGAUUCAUCUGGUUCUUUGGUGCGGCAAGUACUUGCGUUGAUCUUAUCAAGAAUAUCCUUAAUAAUCCUGGCAACAUCAAAUUGUUGGAAGCCCAGACCCAGGCUUUGAGCUCGAAGCACUCAUCUAUCGUUGUAGAUAAGCUGAGCAAGAGUGGUUUUACCAAUCCCGCCCAUGCCCACAAUGGAACGCACAACUAAAUUUGAGCCAUCUGUGUUGUGUUGUGUCAACAAGUGCUCCAUUAUGGCUUCCUUAUCAGCGUCCCUUCCAUAUACAUAGAGAUUCAUUAACCAGUGGAGUUGUUUUCUCUGACAAUGGUCUCCAUCCACCAGUACCUUCUAUGUGGCGCAGAUCACCCUUGUGUUUAAGUAAACGUUCAAGCUUCUCAAGGAUCUUUUGUAACUCUGCUUCCAUCUCUUUCAUCCUUCUAUUAGCUGGAUUUAGAAAUGGAAACCGAUCCUUACCUGCAAUGGUGGACUAAAUAUGUGAGAUAGAAUUCAGGAAAACAUUAUAAUUUAUAAUAUCAAAACAUAAACAUUAAGAUUUUUACAUCUAGUGAAUUAAUAAGUUAAUACCAUUAAAUUGUUGAUGCUAUAAACAUUAAGAUUUUUACAUCUAGUGAAUUAAUAAGUUAAUGCCAUUAAAUUGUUGAUGCUAGCUUAACGUAAUUAAGCAGUGAAAGUCAAGUUUUAAAAAGAUAUUGAUUCAAUGCCAUAAGUGAUUUUCAUAGCCCUUACUAUAUAAUAUUAUUUAUAUAUAUAUAAUGAAAUUAAUUUUUUUUCUAAAAUAAAAAUGGAAAAAUAAUUGUUUAGCAAUUAAAAAGUAAAGUAUUUAUUUUUCAUAUUUAAAAUAAAGAUAUGAGCCUUUCAUGUAUAAAACAUCAUUCCAAUUUCUAAUUGUGCUAACAAAAAAUCAAUGCAUAAUUCUUGGUGAUUAUUAUAUAUAAUUACUAAGAAAUUUAAUAUUUAUAAUAAUGGGUUUUGAAUCUCGUAAGUCCUAACUAUUCAUCACUAAAAAUAUUGAAAGACAAUUCAAUUUUAUAUCCCUUAUAUUUUCAUAAAAAAGUAAGAGUCAUUCAUGUUCUCAUAAAAAUAUAUAUAAUUUAAUUGACAAAAUUUAUAUAAAUAAUUCAGAUUUUAAAAAUAUAGCAUUUUGGAUUUUAAAAAAAACAAACAAACAAAUAGAGGGAUCAAUACAAACAUUUUAUGAGGAAGCAAGGUCUCUAGGUGCAAGAACUUAUGCUUACCCAAUUGCUGUCAGGUCGAGGGGCAUCAAUGUCCUUGGAUCGUAGAUAUUCAUAAUCAAUCUCCUCCGAUAUGUCCUCAGCUUCAUAGACAGCGUGUUUAACAUCAUUAAGCCACUUCUUCACAGCACGAUUUGUAAUCUGCUUCUCCUCCGCAUCGUCGAGUAGUCCGUUGACAGUAUUCAGUGUUUCAUUCAGCUUUUCCAGAAGACCAUCAUCGAGUUUGUGGCUUUGGAAGAAGCCCAGAACCUCACGAGAGGCCAACCUGUCGACCAGAACCUCAAUGAGAGCAGAGAGAAUUGAUCCUCCGAUCAACUCCAGAGACAUGGUGGAUUUUUGCAGAAGGGUGAGGGUGGGAAUAUGUGAGAGAAAAGGAGUUGUGGAAAGCAGGAGCCUUGGUGGAUUUUUGCUAAAGGGUGAGAGAGUGAUUAUGUGAGAGAGAAUGAUAAGCCAAAUAGAAAACCCGAGGAAGCCGGCUUCGAGUGUGUUUGUCCUUGACGCAGUGUAUGCGUUUUCUCUCAAUGUAUAGAAAUGAUGGGCCCACUGCCCAAGGUUGGAACUUGGAUAUGAAAAAGAUUUUUUUUUUUCUGCUUUUUACAUGCUGGAUCACAGGUUAAACCUUCUUGAUCUGCUAAAAAAAACAUUCAAAAAUUAUCUUUGCAUCCUUUUUCUUUCUCCUAUCAUUCAUUACAAUUGCUUGUCUUUCUUUGAACAAUACAAUUGCCCAGAAAAUUCUGGUUUUGCUAUCAACAUGAUACAAUAGCAAUGAACAAGUCUAUUUCAUUAAAAAUUCAGAUUUGUAAUUUACUCGUAAACUAGUCGACUUAUCAGGUCAACCUGAAACUUGAAUGACUCGGUAAAAUACUAGUAAAGACCAUUUUCUUCAAAUGUAUUUUUUUCUCCUAUCUAGGAACCUUUUAUAUAUUUUAUUUUUUUUAUUUAGUUACUCAUUUCAAAAUUCACUAUAUAAAUAUUAGAAGAAUAUUUUAUUUUUUUAAUGUGAUAUUUUGAAGCCCUUUAAUAUAUAUACUUUAUGUUCUUCAAAAAAAAAUUAUGUUUUUUCAAAUGUAGAAUAAAAAACCUUUUUUGUUUAAAUACUUCAACUUAAAAAAAUAAGAUAGUAUAUUUUCAAAGUAGAAUAAAAAAUCUUUUGAAAUAAUCUUUUAAACUUAAUUGCUUACAACAUGUAUAGCCUAUAUCCAUAUAGAUUAUUUUUUAUUUUUUUAUAUAAAAUAUUAAAACCUCAUAUUUUUUUAAUUUUUCCUGAUUGACCCGAGUCAACCCAUGUAAACUAGGACCUAGCCCCUUAGUCGGGUUAAUCCUUAGGCUGAGUUUGAUAACCAUGAUUGUCAUGAGAAUACAACUUUAAAAAUGCAAUUAAAAAGAAAUAAAGUGAUGUGAACAGUUAAAAAAUCAAAUAAAUAGAUAAAACCUUUUCUUUUUUAUUUUAUUAAGGGCCUCUUUUAAUUAUUUUUUUUAUUAUGUGUUUAGAGAUAAAUUUAUGGACACUAAAAUCAACAUUUUUUAUUCUUGAAAUACAACUCACCAAAAUACCUUUUUAUAUAUAUCUAACGACUUUCUAUUUAUACUCAUGACAUCAAAAAAUUGAAAUACGAGGAGAAUGAAGUUUUAGAAUUAAAUAUAAAUAGCUAAAACUACAAGAAUAAAAGAAAAAACUUUAGGAACCCAAAUGAACUUUUAUGAGAAUUUCAAGGAUCAAAACUCAAUAUUCAGAUAGUAAAACGAGUGGGAAAUGAAGUUUAAAACUAAAAUGUAAACACAUAAAACUACUAGGAUUAAAAAUAUUUUUUUAAAAAACUUCAUUUGGUAUUACUCUUAGAACGUAAUUGGUACAAGGCUUAAAAAUAUGGGUGAAAUUAUCACAUAAAUAAUAAUUAUUAUUAUAAGAGCAAAUUUAAAAAGUGUAAAUGUUGGUUUUUAAAAAUGACUGAUGUAUUUGAACAGUUAAAUACUUGUGAAAAAAAGAGAGAAUAAUUUAAUAAUUAACUUCAACUUUUCCAUUAAUUAAUUAAGAUCUAAAAAAUCCAAAAAUUAUAAGUUUCUAAUAUAAAGUUAAAAAAUUUACAUAUAUAUAAAAAAGAUAUUUCAUAAAAUUCUAUUUUUUUUUAAUAAUUCACAGAAACUCAAUGCAAGACUUCAUAUGUUGAAUCUUCUCAUUAUCAACACUUUCAAAUAUAUCUUUUUUGAUAUAAGUAACCAAACAAUCAUUAAAUAAAUUAUCCCCAACUCGAUUGUGUAAUCGACUUUUGACUAAUUUCAACGUUGAAAAUAUUCUCUUUACUGAUGCAAUAACCACGCGUAAAAUUAAUGCUAAAUUUAUCACGUAAUAUAUGUUAUUUAUUAAAUUUAUUACUUAUAUAUUAAAAUGUAUGGGAUUUUCACCGUGUAUUUGUUAUUAUACAAUUUUUUUUUUCAGUUUAUCCAUGACAACUAGAGUGCCGAGCUCAAAAUGCUAGGGUCUGACAUAGUACCCGACCUAAUUACCAAACCCUAGAUUUGGUAACUAUGCAAGACCCAAGCAUCCCUUGCAAACAACUCCCAGCAAUAUUCAUAGCUUAUUGCAUUCAAGCGGUGAAAGGGGAUGACAGUUUGCGUGACUUUUGCUACAUCUUCUUCCCGUGUUGUCACGACAAUCUUACUUCCGUGCUCCACAUACCGCAAAGGUAGCAGUAGUUUAUCCCAUUCAUUGUACUUGAUGUUCCACGCGUCAUCUAGAACAGGUAGAAGUUUUUUCCCUUUCACUGCCUCCAUUAGAGAUUCAUCUGGUUCUUUGGUGCGGCAUGUACUUGCGUUGAUCUUAUCAAGAAUAUCCUGAAUAAUCCUGGCAACAUCAAAAUAGAUAACAACUACUGUAUAAAUAAUAAUUUUUAAAAUUUUUAAUUGAAAUCUAUUUUUUAAUCUAAUUAUUGGACACAUAUGAACAUUUUGACUCAUAAUUAAUUUUUUUAAAAAAAAUUCAUAAAAUUAUAAUUUUUAUGUGAAAUAAUCCACUGUUUAAUACAAUAAACUUCAAUUAAAUGACCAAUUAAGCUAGAUGAUUGAACUUUCAAUUAAUUUGUUAACUUGCGCUAACAUUUACCAAUGUUACUGUUUGAAAAUGUAAAAGUAAGCUAUUUCACUAAAAAAAAAUUUCGGUCUAGCAUCACUAAGCCACCUCUGCACAGCAGGCUUGGUAAUCUGUUUCUCCUCCGCGUCGUCGAGAAGUCCGUUGAGAGUAUUCAGUGUUUCUUUCAACUUUCCGAGAAGACCAUCAUUGAGCUUGUGGCUUUCGUCUCAUUUGCCCUGAAACCAAGCAUACGUUGUGGAAUUGAAAAGUAAGCAAGAGUUGCAAUAAAUCUCGUAAGUUAUGGAUUGAUUUGGUUCUACGAGGAUUAAUAUCACAACCAGCUUUGAAAAGCGAUAUGUUUUUGAUUUUUUGUUGUUUUUUUUAAAUGUUUUUUAAUUAAAAAUAUAUUAAAAUAAUAUUUUUUAUUUAUUAAUUAAAAAUAAAUUAUUUAAAAUAAAGAAAACAAUUAAAUUUUUUUUAAAAAAAAAAUUUAAAAUGUAAAAAUAAACAGCCUUGAAGAAGGUUUUUGAGAGUAUAGUAAUACUUGCUUUUAAAAAAAAAAAUUUGCUUAUGUGUGAGAGCUUCCCCAGCUCUUUCAUGCUAGACCCGCUCUCUUUUCCCACAAUGUAAUAUUCCAAAUAUCGAAGCUUUGUGAGUUUCGUUAUUUUUGGUGGCAUCUCUUCCAAAUUUGUCCCUUCAAUAUCAAGAUAUUGUAGGUUGACCAAGUUGGAAAUGUUGGAUGGCAACUCCAUGAGAUGUCGGCACUCUCUUAACAAUAGAGUUUGCAAAUAGUACAAGGUGCUCACACUUUCAGGUAACCUUUCAGUGGCGGUACAAGAAAGGUCCAAGUGCCGCAAAUGUUUUAAGUUGCCAAUGGAAUUGAGCAACUGAGAAGAAAUACUAAGGCCCCGUUUGUUUGCAGGAAAGUAAAUUCCUUUUGGAAAAUGAAUUCCGGGGAAAGUGAAUUCCUGGAAAGUGAAUUCCGGGAAAGUAUUUUCCGAUGUUUGGUAGUGUUAUAGAAAAUACUUUCCAGUGUUUGGUUGUGUUAUGAAAAAUAAAUUGGAAAAUAAUUUAUUAAUAAAUUAAUUUUUUUUUCAAAUUUAUCUAAUAUAUAUAAAAUAUUUAAUAUAAAAUAUUUAAUCACUUACAAUAAACAAAAUAAAAUCUAAAAUGUAUAAUGAUGAAUUUUUUUUAUUAUUAUAUUCUAUAUUCAUACAUAGCUUAUUUUAUAAAAUAUAACUAUAUAUAUCAUAUCAUAUUAUAAAGAAAUAAGCUUGUGAAAUAUUUUUUACUAUUCUAUGAAACCAUUUAUAAUUUCAUUACAUACGAAAUACAUCCGACAAAAACUAUAGUUUUAAUAAUAUUUUUAGCAUGUAAUAAAAUUGGAUAAAAUAUUAAGGUAUAAAAUUCACUCUAAACUAUUUUUUUUUAAUGUUAAAAAAAUAGCACACUUAUAUUUAUAUAUAUAUAUAAAAAAAAAAAAAAACGGAACAGUGCACUAAAACUGCACUGUUCACUCUUUUUUAGUGAACAGUGUAUGCAAUACACUGUUCAUUGUAAUUGCACUGUUCAAUGAACAGUGCAAUUACCAUGAACAGUUACAGAAAAACACGCAGCUGGCUCAGGAAAGUGUUUUCCGAGAAUUAAAAACGGAAAACACUUUCCUUAUGUUAAACUUAACAUUUUCCUUUGACUGGAAUUAACUUUCCUUUGACUAACUUUCCGGAUGGUUGCCAAACACUGGAAAAUGAGGAAACUGAAUUCCUGGAAUUCAGUUUCCUUGAAACAAACAAGGCCUAAGAGAACAAACAUAUAGACUUUUAAAGGAAAAGAAAAGAAGAAGAUUCAUGGAAGCCGGUUUUAAACUUCCUAACAAUAUUAAAUUAUUUAUAUUAUAUUCACACUUGGUAAAAUUACUAGCCACAACCUUCUUUGCCUCCACUAAUUUCUGAGCAAGAUCAUCGAUUCCUUUUUAUCUCUGGAAAUUCUUCACAAGAUCUCAGGUUAAGAAUAUAAGUUUCGAGUUGAUUAUAAAUUGUUACAAGCUUAACCAUGUAAGCCGGCCGUGCUGGCAUCCCUGACUGUUUGCCGGGGAUCAUUUUGUAAUGAUUUUCUCGUCGGACGUGAUCUUUCUUCUCUACUGUAUUAAUGAUGCAUCAUUUAGUACAAAUCUUUACAUCUUGAAAAGCACCGAUGAAAAUGCAUCUGAUGUUCUCUGAACGUGAAUCUACAAUGGCCUUCGGGCGGCAAUUUGGGUCCUACUUGUAUUGGCUUCUUCUGCUUUAUUUCCUUCUCUAAUAACAGGGGAUGUCCACAGAUUUUCCAUUACAGGACCUGAUCAUCACAUAUGCUUUGUUAUUUGAUAGCAAUUUUCCACUUCUGCGGUCCAUUCCUACCAUCUAUUUGAAAUCUGUGACAUCCCACCAGCUCUUGAAAAGAAGGGUGCAGUGCAGAACCCUACCAUUCUAUGAAAUGUUAGGAGAUGAGGUCAAGAUUUCUGAGUCAUGAAGUUGUCGAUUCUUGCGAAAGGGUGAGAGAGAGAGAAUGAUAGAAGUAGAAAGCUAAUAAACCACGGAAUUCCAUGAUGGGAACACGUGGACUUUAAAGGAAAGGAAGAGACAAGAAAACGCGUGGAAGCGGUAUGUAUAAAUAAAUUUGAUAAUCGAAUAAUAAAAAAGAUAAUUUAUGUGUUUAAUACAAUAAAUUUAAAAAUAUAUAAACAGUUAAACCGUAAAAAUUAUUAUGGAUUAAUUAUCUUCUUGUGGACAUCCAUAAAAUAUUAAUAAUAAGUUUUUUACAUGAGAAGAAUGAUAAAUGAUAAAUUAUAAAUUUAAUAUAUAUUAAAAUAAAAUUAACUUAAUUAGAUAUAUAAAAAUUGAUGAAAGAAAUAUUUUAUAAUAUAAGAAACAAAUCAAGUCGUUAAAUAGAUAAAAUGUUGAUAGCAACCAUAUUCAUUGCACAUUUAAAUUAAUCCUAGAAAUUUUAAAAGUUGUAGUUUAAUUGGUUAAAUUUUAGAUUUUUUUUAAAAAAUUACUGGUUUGAAUUUUAAAAUUUUAAAAUCAUUAAAAAUUUAUAUAAUUAUUAAUUUUAAAAUUUAUAAAAUUAAUUGAGAUAUUGGUGUAAAUAUCAAUAAUACGCUGCCGUGGAUAGCACAUAACUUGGUGCAUCGGAAGCACGAUGUUAAUUUCCAGAGCCACCAAUGAUGCGCCGCCGUGGAUAGCAAAGACGAGUUAAUUUUAGGACUCUUUUGACUAUUCUUCAUGCAAAUAUUUUUUAAAAAAUUAUAAAAUAUAAUUUUCAAUAUAAAAAUAAAUUGAUGUAUUGCCAAUGUGGAAACCCAAAGAAUAUACAACCUUGGUGAAAUUAACAGGUGAAUACGACCGUGCCCUUUCAUUUUUCCAUGCCAAACGCUCCAGAGAGCUAGCGUUCUCUUCUUUGGUUUAUUGACCGUGCAUGUCCCUUACAUAAGGGAAUUUUUAUUUUUGUGAUGUAAAAGUAUUUUUGAAAAAAAAUUAUUAUUUUUCAGUUUUAUUUCAAAUUAAUUUUCAAAAUGAAUCUUUAAUUGUGGCAUUCACUGGGUUCUUCAAGAAUUUAGCACAUGACAUGUUAAGUUUUCAGUAAUUAAAAAAAAAGGGCCAAAUGUUUUCACCUCGGGCCACACCGAAAUGAUAGGCAGGAUUGCCGUCACCGUCACGGGCAAGAAGGAUCCGACAUGUACAAUAUUAAAUUCAUGGAAGCCGGUUUAAAACUUCCUAACAAUAUUAAAUUAUUUAUAUUAUAUUUAGGGCUGGGUCACAAAAUAAAUUUUUUUAAAAAAACUAAAUUAAAAAAAAAAACUUAAAAGGCCAACAUUUCAGUUAUUUUAUUAUUUGAGCUGAAACUAUAAACAUUGUUAAAAAAAUUGUUGAAAAAAAUUUCCUUACAAGGCCGGAGUCGUUGCCUGCCUCCUAUCUCCGCCACUGAUCAUAUCCAUACUUGGUGCUCAAUGUAUUAAUCUUUUAUAUCAGCAUGAUUAAGGCAUCAUCAAGUGGAUUAAGUUUGGAUUGACUGUCUUCAAAUGGGCAUAAAUAAGAUAAGAAUAAUAAGUUUUCAUCCAUGCCUUUAAGAUGAAGGAUGGACCCGAGUUUUAAAGUAUAAAAUAAUAUAAAUAUAUAACUAAAUUAAUUAAGAUUUAAAAAAUCUAAAAAUUAUAAGUUUCUAAUAUAAAGCUUAAAAAUUUAUAUAUGUAUUAUAAAAAGAUGAUUUAUGAAAUUUUAUUUUUUUAUAAUUUAUAAUUGUUCUUUGUAAGAUUUUAUAUGCUGAAAACAUUGUAGGAUUUUCUCAUUAUUAACACUUUUAAAUAUAUCUUUUUUUAUAUAAUUAACCAUAAUCAAACAAUCAUUUAAUUAAUCAUACAAUCAUUUAAUCAAUCAUCUCUGAUUCGAUUGCAUAACCAGCUUUUAAUCAAUUUUAUCGCUGAAAAUAUUCUCUUUAUUGAUGAAGUGUUUUGUAUCCAUCAAUUUUUAAGCAAGAUCAUUUAUUCAUUUUACCUUUGUAAAUUCUUCACAGGAUCUCAUGUCAAGAAUAUAAGUUUCAAGUUGAUUAUAAGUGCUGCAAGCUCAACUAUGAAGAAAAUACAUGGAUAGAAUUAAGCAAGAUGAAUCAACUUUUGCUUAUCACAGGCCAUUAUUUGCCACUCCAACACUACAAAGGGAAAGACUCUUUUCCUUGGCCAACAAGCUAUAUUGGCUACAGUUUUGCCUCGGGUGUAUCAUUUAUUAUUAUUUUUUUUUUUACAAAAAAGUACUUUGAUGCUUUCAAAUUGAUUCAUCAACUUUUAUAUAUAUAUAUAUAUAUAUAUAUAUAUAUAUAUAUAUAUAUAUAUAUAUAUAUAUAUAUAUAUAUAUAUCUUUUAGAUCGUUUUGAUGCGCUAAUCUUAAAAAUAAUUUUUAAAAAUAAAAAAAAUAUCAUUUUAAUGUAUUUUAAUAUAAAAAAACUUUGAAAAACAAUUGUAAUUACACUACCGAAUACUCAUGGGAUAUAAAAUUGUGACCUCAGGGAACAAGUCAGCUUAUUGAGGAGAAGUAGAAAUAUGAGCAUUACAAAUCAAGCCUGCUUGAGCUUCCUCUAGGCAAUCAAGUUAAAGACUAAAUUUGAUGCAAAGUACAAAUCUUAAUAGAACUCGUUGAAAAUAAUUUAGAUAAUUUUUUUCUUAAUUUCCUUAUAUUGUUGGCAAAAAGUUUGCGAAAAGGUGGCAAACUUGUUCGCAAUACAGAGUUCCAAGUACAACAACACAUGCAAGCAAACAUCCGACUCUGUCAAGAUCUCUGGAUCUGUUGCUUGCACUGGGAUCAAACAUAUCAUUUUGGAUGUCCUGAUUUUUGAAAUGCUGCAUCGUUGGCCAGCAGUUAUCCCUUUCAGGUUUUACCUUAAUUUUCUUUUCACUUUGCCAGCAUCCUCAUUUCAUCCUGGCCAUAGGCCAUCUAUCGAGUUUAAUCCUGAACAUAGAUCCAUCAAGAAUAUAAUGCUAUUAGUAUUAAGCAUCUGUUAAAUAUUCUGAUCAAAGUUUUUCUUUUAAAUAUCUCAUAAAAUACCAUGUUAGCAAGAUCACUAUUGUUCUUGUUUUCAUUUCUUAAUAACUCUGCUUUGAAAACAGAAUCUCAAAUUACUUUAAACCUCAACAGAAAACAAUAAGAAAACAGGAAUUAUGAUCUUGGGCUGGCAUUUGCUGAUUCACUGUAAAUCAUGCCUUUGUUUUUGAACAAAUUGCUGGGAACCUAUCUCUACCUAAUGUGGUGAUGGGCUGUGCGGUGAAGAUCUGUUGUGUGAAAAUGCCAUGCUCCAAAAAUAGAAUUUAAAACAAAGCAGAUGCAAGGCAGAGAAUUUAGUAAAUACCGGAGCACGUUGGACAAAUGACAGGAGAGUGUUACUGCAUAAUUCUUCAUCCUCUAAUUAGAAAUUUUUAUACUGUGGAUGUGAGAAAUUUUGGGCCAAUUUUCCCCCGUCUCCCUUUCACACCUUGUGGCCAGCAAAGGACAACCGAUAAUCUUAAGAUAUUCAAGGGAGGAGGGCAGCCCUUCUUCUGGCAUGAACUCAAGCUUAGGAGAAUGCGAGAUCAACAAUUUGCGAAGAGAGGUGAAGUGUUGAAGCCCCGUAUAGUUCAGAGAUUUAAGAUUUCUGAGAUCUGAGAUUUGAAGAGAUUCAAGGGAGGAGGGCAGCCCCUCACCUGGCACGGACUCAAGCUUGGGAGAACUAGAGAUACGUAAUUUACGAAGGGAGGUGAGGUGCCGAAGCCCCUUAUAUUCCAGAUCUUCAAGAUUCAAGAUUUCAAGGUUUUCAAGGGAGGAGGGAAGCAUGUCUUCUGGAAGGGACUCCAGCUUAGGACUCUUGAGAAUCAAUGUGCGAAGAGAGGUCAGGUGCUGAAGCUCCUUGUAGUCCCGACCUCGUUGAUCCCAUAAUUGAAGGCAUUCAAGGGAGGGAGGCAGCCCCUGCAACGAUGCAAGCUUUGGACAAUUCCAGAUCUUCAAUUUGCGAAGAGAGGUGAUGCGCUGAAGCCCAUGGUUCCAGAGAUUCCAGUGUCAUGACAUGAAGGUAUUCAAGGGAGGAGGGAAGCGCCUGCUCUGAUAUGGACUCAAGCUUAGGGCAACCCUCGAUACUCAAUUUCCUAAGAGAGGUGAGGUGAUGAAGCCCCUUAUAGUCAAGAGACUUCAGAUUUCCCAGACGUUUGAUUUUAAGGGUUGUGAGAGUAGAGGGCAACGUCUCCUCGUCAAAAGACUCCACAUCGUUCCCAGUAAAUCUGAAGCAUGAAAGAGAAGGGAGUGCUUGCAAACCACAUACCUUGAGCUUGAUACAAUCCACAAUGCAAAGUGUGUGUAAUUUGGAGGGUAAGGCCUCCUUCAGGAAACGAAUCAACUUCUGGAAGUGAUCUCAAUUGCAAAUCCUCAAGGGAAGGGAGGAGGGAAUGCAUGUUUUCUGGCAAAGACUUCAAAUAUAAGCAACCCUCUAACACAAGGCUUGUCAAAUCUGGGGCAGCUAGUCCUUCUCGGGGGAAAGACACCAAAUUAGGACAGUGUCUGACAGUCAAAUGACGGAGACCAGGAAGAGAUCUCUCGCCUAUACAAAGAGAUUCGAGAUUGAGACAUUGUUUGACUGUAAGUGUGGAUACCUGGGGUAAAAGGUCUAGCCGGCAGGAGUUAAAUGAACUACAUCUAUCGAUUUCAACAUCUGUGAAAGAAGAGGGAUCCACAUGACUCAUUUGCUCCAUUCCCUUCAGUUGGGGAUAUUCUCUAAAUUGAAGGCACCGCCCACCGCCAUAUAAUACCGAUGCAUUUAUACGACCACUAGAACCAUCAAAUACAUUGAUUUCGGUGAGCAAUGGAGCCUCUGGAAUUGAAACCACAAGCUGUGGACACGCUCUAAUCUCAAGUAUCAAUAAAGAAGGAAGGUGAUUAGGCAAGCCAUUUGUUAACUCGGGACAACCUGCUAUCAAGAGCUUUGCAAGAUGAGGGAAAGCACCAGCUACAUCUGUAUUCCAUUCCUGCCAUUUUUUCAUCCCCUCGAACUUUAAUAUUUUGAGGGAUUUAAAUGGCUUCUCCAUCAAAGAGUCACUCCCAUAGAACUCAGAGCCAACCGCCACGACUUCAUCAAAUCCUUUAAUUUGGAGCUCUUCUAGAGAUGAAAGCUGCCCCAUUGGUGGUAAGGAGAUGCAGUUCUUACAUCCAGAAAGUGUCAACGCUACCAUAUUUGAGAAGGAAGAGUUUCCAAACCAACCUGGAAACAUCGUACCCCCAUAACCAGUAAUGACAAGAUGUUUCACAUUUUCAGAAGGCUCCAAUUUCUCAAGCACGUCUCUCUCAUGUUGUGUGUCAUCCGUAUUACCACCCCAUAUCAACCUCAGCUUCUCAAUCUUCUUCUUACCCUUCAAAUUGGCAUCCAAAGCAUCUUGAGCAUUUGCGACAUCUCUGAGAUUCCGAAUAGAAAGUUUUCUCCUUAUAUGUGAGAGCUUCCCCAGCUCUUUCAUGCUAGACCCGCUAUCUUUUCCCACAAUGUAAUAUUGCAAAGUUCGAAGCUUCGUGAGUUUCCCCAUUUUUGGUGGCAUCACUUUCAAAUUUGUCCCUUCAAUAUCAAGAUGUUGUAACUCGACCAAGUUCGAAAUGUUGGAUGGCAACUCCAUGAGAUGUCGACACUCUCUUAACAACAGAGUUUGCAGAUAGUACAAGGUGCUCACACUUUCGGGCAACCGUUUAAUUAAUGUCUGAGAAAGGUCCAAGUGCCGCAAAUGUUUCAAGUUGCCGAUGGAAUUGGGCAACUGAGAAGAUUUAUAGCUCCACCGAUAUAAAGAUAGCGUUCGCAAGCGCUUAAGAUUUGUCAACAUGUCAUUCAGCACCCCACUAUCAAUCCCCCCCACGUAUGUUAGUGGAGACAAGGUGCGCAAAUGUUGGACUCCAUGAAUGCGAGGAAAUAUCUUAGAGACCCCAUCAUAUAGUGUUGAAGUGAUUGAUAAAUGACGAGUCCUUUCUGGAAGCGUGCAUGAAUUUUCACCCUCCAACCAGAGCCCGAUUCUCCAUCCAUAACAAACUUAAAGCAGAAUUCUCCUGACAUGUAUUCAGCUAGAUCACUUGUGAGGUCGUGCAUGCUGAAAUAUGAUGGGGCGUAAAGUGAUUGCUGAAACAAUGACCUAGAGACAAGGUCAUUGAAGUAUUUGUCACCUAUUUCUUCCAUCUCCUCAACACCUCUGGACUGGACUAGAAAACCUUGUGCCAUCCAUGAAGUGAUUACUUGAUUCUUCUCAAAUACAUAACCCUUGGGAAAUAUUGCACAAUAAGCAAAACAACGUUUGAGGUGUGAAGGGAGAUAAUAAUAGCUCAAUGUUAGAGCUGGAGGGAUGUUUUCAUUCGACAAACCCCACAUGUUGCUAUUGGAUAUCUUCUCCCAUUCCUUGACAUCUCCUUCGGAAUGCAAAAGACCCCCAAGAGUUUUCGCUGCCAGCGGUAAACCUUUGCACUUUCUCGCUAUUUCUCUGCCAAAUGUUUCCAAGUGUGAGAAUGCUCCAGAAUUUGCACUGCUAAAUGCAUGCCUUGCAAACAACUGCCAGCAAUCUUCAUCGCUGAUUACAUUCAAGCGGUGAGAGGGGAUGACAGUUUGCGUGACUUUGCUACAUCUUCAUUCCGUGUUGUCACGACAAUCUACUUCCAGGCUCUGCAUACUGCAAAGGUAGCAGUAAUUUAACCCAUUCAUUGUACACAAUGUUCCACGCAUCAUCUAGAACAAGUAGAAGUUUUUUCCCUUUCAAUGCCUCCAUUAGAGAUUCAUCUGGUUCUUUGGUGCCGCAAGUACCUGCGUUGAUCUUCUUAAGAAUAUCAUCAACUAUCCUGGUGACGUCAAAUUGUUGAGAAGCCCAGACCCAGGCUUUGAGCUCGAAGCACUCAUCUACCCUUCUGUCUUUGUAGAUAAGCUGAGCAAGAGUGGUUUUACCAACCCCUCCCAUGCCCACAAUAGGAAUCACACCUACAUUUGCACCAUCUGUAUUGUUUUUUGUCAACAAGUACUUCAUUAUGGCUUCCUUAUCAGCUUCCCUUCCAUAUACAUGAGAUUCAUCAACCACAGGAGUUGUUUUCUCUGACAAUGGUCUCCAUCCACCAGUACCUUCUAUGUGGCGCAGAUCACCCUUGUGUUUAACUAAACGCUCAAGCUUCUCAUAGAUCUUUUGCAACUCUGCUUCCAUCUCUUUCAUCCUUUUAUUAGCUGGAUUAAGAAUUGGAAACAAAUUCCUUACCUGCAAUGGCGGAACAUAUCCAUGUAUAUGAGAUAGAAUUUAGGAACAUAUAAAUACUAAAAUUAUUAAACUCGUACCGAGUAAGUUAACACAGCUGCAAUGAUGUUUUUUUAUAAAAAAUAAAAAAAUUAAAAUGAGAUUAUUUUUUUAAAAAAAGUUAAGUCUAACCAAGAUUCUAAUGAGAUGAUAGGAUGGUGAAUUAACCCUCCAGGUUACUAAAAAUUGAAAGAUAAAUUCAGCAAUUAGCACAGUAAACAUAAAAAAGUGAUGCAAUGAUAUUUUUUUGAAAAAGCUUUUGAAAAAUAGUAUAUUUUCACCUUCUCACACCUAAGAAAAGCAAUAUUUACUAAAUUUUAUUAUUACUAAGCAUGACAAGAUAGUUGUCGUACUUCGGAAUAGCAACAUUUAGUAAAUAUUGUGUUUUUAAAGAGCGUUAAAGUGAAACUUCAAUCAUCUGAAUCAAUUAAUUGACCUGUUUAUAAUGGUUAGUGAAAUCGGUUGACCAAUCUUGAAAAUGAUAAGAAAAAUCUCAAAAAUACCAAAAUCAAGGGGCCUCGAUGAGAUUUUUGAUAUCUAGAGAUUUGAUAGUUUACAUAACGACAUAGUGGCUACAAUAGGGAAGAUGAUUUUUGAAAACUUCUAUACAAGUUUGAGUGCGAUCUAACAGUCUAAUAAAAAAAUAUAGCUUUUUUAGUUGUUAUUCUGGUAUGGCGGAACCAGAUCUCCUCUUGAGCCUUAAACUAUCUCAUCGGUCCGUAAAUGCAUUUGUUAGAUCAUACACGUAAUUCGUUUAGGAUAAAUUCUCAUUUAGUUAUGAUAGACACACACAUGGCUAUUUAGAAUCACUUGUUAUCACAAGUCUUUAUACAUCAUUGACAUUGAAAAAUAGAUAAUAAUUACUGUGUGAAUAAUAAUUUUUUAAAAUUUUAAUUGAAAUCUAUUUUUUUAGUCUACAUAUUGAACACAUAUAUAUUUUGACUCAUAAUUAAUAUUUGAAAGAAAAAAUUCAUAAAAUUAUAGUUUUUAUGUGAAAUAGUCGACUAGUUAAUACAACUGAAUCCAAUCAACCGACCAGUUGAACAACAUUUACUAAAUGUUGUCAUUUGAAAAUGUGAAAAUAUGCUAUUUCAUAUUUUUCUUUUUCAAUCGGUGUUAUUAUACCAAUAUUUAACAUUUGUUGUGCUAAUUUAAAAAAAAAAUGAAUGGUCAACUUUGAUUUUUUAAAAAAAAAAAUAAUUCAAAUUCUAGAUUGAACAUGUUUUAAUUAAGUUGACAGCUGGGCCAAGCCAGUGGUUGGAAUUUGUUGGAAUAAUAAUGAGUAGUGGUUGCAGGAGAGUAUCAUAGGAUUGGUUGCAUGAGAUAAAUUAGCAUCAUUGGGUGUUGUUUGCAUGAAAUAUUUCAAGAAAAGAUAUGAAAUUUUCUGAUAUUUUACAAUUUCGAAUUGUGCUUGUAAAAAUCAGAGGGAUCGAUACUAACAUUAUACGAGAAAGGCAAAAACAUAUGCUUACCGGAUUCCUCACACGUCGAGAGGCAGCUUUAAUAUCCUUGGAUCGUAGAUGUUCAUAUUCAAUCACCUCCAUUAAGUCCUCAGCUUCAUACACAGCAUGUCUAGCAUCAUUAAGCCACCUCUGCACAGCAGGCUUGGUAAUCUGCUUCUCCUCCGCGUCGUCGAGAAGUCCGUUGAGAGUAUUCAGUGUUUCUUUCAACUUUCCGAGAAGACCAUCAUUGAGCUUGUGGCUUUUGAAGAAGCCCAGAAUCUCAGGAGUGGUCACCUUCUCGCCAGAACCUCAAUGACAGCGGAGAGAAUUGAUCCUCCAAUGUACUCCACAGCCAUGAUGGGAUCUUCCAGAGAAUUGGAAGGAAGCAGAAGCAAAGAAUUGUAGAGAAGAAGAUAGUGAAGAGAACAAGACGUUUAACGAAUGGAAAAGGAAAGAAAAAUCAAAGUAAGUACGCGGGUUCUCAGUUGACUUCACAGCUCAGCCACUCGAAACUAUUGACCCCAGAUUAUCACUAUACAAUUCAUCGGAUACCCUACGAGUUCAGAAAAGACAGUUUCUAAGCUCGAGUGAGAGUAACCUUUGAAUAGUUUCUUAAUUUUUAAUAAAAAAAUCUAAAUUUUUUAAAAACACAUAUUGACUUGCUUUUCUAAACGUUUUAUCUUCGUAAUCUCAGGUAGGAAGCCCACAGGAAUUUGCAUAGGCAGCAAGGAUCAAGGGAGACAGCUGGGAACCUUGACCUCAAAGACCCAAAUAUUAAUUUUAAUUUCUCAAUUUCUUUCCAAGUAUUUAAUAUUGCAUCACUCUCCCACUCUACCGAGUCGUUCCUCGAAUCUUCUCAAGGAAAAGGAUUUAAAAAAGAAAAACACAAUUUAUUAGCACAGAUUGUUUUGUCGGCCAAGAAAAGCAACCGUGAUAAGUGGGGAAGUUAUCAUUUUCUUACUUUUGUGGUGUAAAAUUAUUGAUAUGAAGCUAUCUGGUCAAUUAUCAAAUUAACAAACAAUCUUCCUUUGACGUUGACUUGUCGUCUCAUUUGCCUGAAACCAAGCAUACGUUGUGGAAUUGAAAACUAAGCAAAGUUGCAAUAAAUCUCGUAACUUAUGGAUUGAUUUGGUUCUACGAAGGAGUAAUAUCACAACCAGCUUUGAAAAAGGUGUUGUUUUCGUAGCAUUUAUUUUUUAAAAUAUUUUUAAUUAAAAAUAUAUUAAAAUAAUAUUUUUUAAAUUUUUUAAAAUUUAUUUUUAAUAUUAUUAUAUUAAAAUGAUUUGAAAACAUAAAUUAUUUAAAAUUAAAAAAAAUAAUUUUUUUAAGAAUAAUUUUGAAAUGUAAAAACAAACGUUGAAGGAGGUAUUUGAGAGCAUUAUAGUGGUUAUUUUACUUUAAAAAUAUAUUAAAAUAAUAUUUUUUAUUUUUUAAAAUUUAAUUUUUACUUCAACACAUCAAAACAAUGCAAAAUUAUAAAAAAAUAACCUUCAACAAAAAUAGUUUAAAUUUUAACGAAGAACCCGCAAUUCUAAGUGGGACAAAAUAUAACAAUGCAAGGGAAAAAGGCUGUCAAGUGUGGCAAGGCAGAGUUCCGAAUAUGACAAUAAAGGAAAGCAAACAUCCGACUAUCUUUGUUGUGGCUCCGAAUGGAUCUGUUGCUCGGAUAGGGGAAUGUAGCAUUUCGGCUAAAUUAAACUUAAUUUUUCUUUAAUUAAGUUAAUUAAACUUAUUAAAUUUUUAAUUAAAUCAUUGAAUUUAAUUAAUCCUUUUAAUUUUGAUCAAAUUAACUUUUAAAAUUAAUUUUACUAUGGUUUAAGCUAUUAAUUAAAUUAAUAAGACCCAUUAAAAGUUCAAUUAAGUUUCUAAACUUAAUUAUUUUGCAAGUCUGCCCAAUACUCAAUAAUAAGACCCAUAGUUAAAAAAAAAUGCAAACAGUGCCAUUCUAAUAGAGGUGAGGUAAUGAAGCCCCUGGUAUUCAGGGGAUGAGGGCAGCCACGACUUCAUCAAAUCCUUUAAUUUGGAGCUUUUCUAGAGAAGGCAGCUGCCCAAGUGGUGGCAAGAUGCUGCAGUUCUCACAUCCAGAAAAUGUCAACUUUACCAUAUGUGAGAAAGAAGACUUUCCAAGCCAGCUUGGAAACGCUGUACUCCCGUAACCAUAAAUGCAAAGAUGUUUCACAUUUUCAGAAGGCUCCAAUCUCUCAAGUACUUCUCUCUCGUGCCGUGUGCAUGUCAUCCGUAUUGCCAUCCCACAUCAACCUCAACUCCUCAAUCUUCUGCUUACCCUUCAAAUUGGCAUCCAAAGCAUCUUGAGCAUUUGCAACAUCUCUGAGAUUCCAAAUAGAAAGUUUUUUCAUUAAACGAGAGAGCUUCCCCAACUCUUUCAUGCUAGACCGACUAUCUUUUCCCACGAUGUAGUAUUCCAAAAUUCGACGGUUUGUGAGUUUCUCCAUUUUUUGUGGCAUCUAUUCCAAAUUUGUCCCUUCAAUAUCAAGAUGUUGUAAGUCGACCAAGUUGGAAAUGUUGGAUGGCAACUCCAUGAGAUGUCGGCACCUCUUUAACAAUAAACUUCGCAAAUAGUACAAGGUGCACACACUUUCGGGGAACCUUUCAAUGGCGGUGCAAGAAAGUCCAAGUGCCGCAAAUGUUUUAAGUUGCCAAUGGAAUUGAGCAACUGAGAAGAAGUAUCUUUUAUUUGGAUAGAUAAUUAUUUGAUUAAAUAAAAAAUAUAUUUUAAAAAACAAAGUUAUUAAACAUAGCUGAAUGCAUGAACUUGUUAUGAAAUCAAGUAUCCUUGUGUUUUUUUUUAAUUUCAUCCUUCAACAUGUAAUUUUUUUUAAUUGGUAUUUGUGUUUUUUUUUUUUAACUUUUCUUUCUAUAAAAUUAUCUCAAUCAUGUGUUUAUUGUCACGAGGUUACUGUAUUUAUAUAGUUUGACCCAUGUCUUUUUUUUUUAAGUUUCUUCAUUCUAUAUUGGGUAUGAUUUUUUUUACCUUUUGUUAGUGUAUAUAGUUGUUUGAUAAAAAGAAAACUCUAGGAAAUAUAGUUGUUAAACACAACUAGAUACAUUAUUCAUAUUAGAGAUUAAAUAUCUCAAUUUUAAUUAUCUUUUUAUAAAAUAUUGAUCUAAUUACUAAUAUAUGUAUAGACAUUUCUAUUUAUUAUUGAAAAAUAUUUUAUAUUAAAAAUGUAUUGUAAAAUCUAUUUAUUAAUUUUUUUAUAUAUAAAUAAUCGCUUGGCCGCGGAGCGCGGGUACAAAACUAGAUACAUGGUCUAAAGAAUGCAACAAGGGUUCGGUUGUAGAUGAGGAUAACCUCUAAUAUGAGGAAAUAGGUACCAGGGCAGCUCCUUUUCUGGCAAGGGACCAAGCUCAGGACAAUCCCAGAUACUCAAUUCGUGAAGAGAGGUGAGGUGCUUAAGCCCCUUUACAGAUUUCAGAUUUAUCAGAUCUGAUAUUUUAAGAGAUUCAAGGGAGGAGGGCAGCUUCUCUCCUGGCACGGACUCGAGCUUAGGAGAACUACAGAUAUGUAAUUUACGAAGAGAGGUAAGGUGUCGAAACCCCUUAAAUUCCACAUCUUCCAAAUCACAGAUUUCAAGGUCUUCAAGGGAGGAGGGAAGUGUGCCUUCUUGAAGGGACUCAAGCUUCAGGCUCCUCCUUAUCUUCAUUUUACGAAGAGAGGUGAGGUCUCGAAGCUCCUUGUAGUCCCGGUCUCGCUGAUCCCAUAACUGAAGGAAUUCAAGGGAGGAAGGCAGCCCCUGCAACGAUUCAAGUUUAGGACAACCCCCGAUCUUCAAUUUGUGAAGAGAGGUGAGGUGCUGAAGCUCAAUGCAGUCCAGAGAUUCCAGUUUACAGAGAUGAAGGCAUUCAAGGGAGGAGGGCAGCGCCUGUUCUGAUAUGUGCUCAAGUUUAGGACAACCCCCGAUCUUCAAUUUGUGAAGAGAGGUGAGGUGCUGAAGCCCAAUGUAGGCCAAAGAUUCCAGUUUACAAAGAUGAAGGUAUUCAAGGGAGGAGGGCAGCGCCCGUUCUGAUAUGGACUCAAGUGUAGGGUAACUCUCGAUACUCAAAUUUCUAAGGGAGGUAAGGUGAUGAAGCCCCUUGUAUUCUAGGGAGGAGGGCAGCACCUGUUUUGAUAUGAACUCAAGUUUAGGGCAACUCUUGAUCUUCAAUUUGCGAAGAGAGGUGAGGUGAUGAUGCCCCAUGUAGUCCAGAGAUUCUAGGUUUGUGAGAUUAAGGUAUUCAAGGGAGGAGGGAAGCGCCUGCUCUGAUAUGGACUCAAGCUUAGGGCAAUCCUGGAUACUCAAUCUCUGCAGAGAUGUGAGGUGAUGAAGCUCCUUAUAGUCCAGAGAUUUCAGGUUUUCCAGACGAUUGAUUUUGAGGGUAGUAAGAGUAGAGGGCAACGUCUCCUCUUCAAAAGACUCCACAUCGUUCCCAGCAAAUCCGAAGCAUGAAAGAGAAGGGAGUGCUUGCAAACCACAUACCUUGAGUUUGAUACAAUCCACAAUGCAAAGUGUGUUUAAAUUGGAGGGUAAACCUCCUUCAGGAAACGAAUCAACUUCUGGAAGUGAGAUCAAUUGCAAAUUCUGUAGGGAAGGGAGGAGGGAAUGCAUGUUUUCCGGCAACGACUUCAAAUAUGACCAACCCUCUAACACAAGCCUUGUCAAAUCUGGGGCAGCGAGUCCUCCUUUGGGGAAAGACACCAAUUUAAGACAGUGACUGAUUGUAAGAUGACAGAGAGCAGGGAGAGGUCUCUCGCCUAUACAAAGGGAUUCGAGAUUGGGACAAUGUUCAAUGGUAAGUGUGGAUACCUGGGGUAAAAGGUCUAGCUGGCAGCAUUUAAAUGAACUACAUUCCUUGAUUUUGAUUUCAGUGAAAGAAGAGGGAACCAAAUGACUCAUUUGCUCCAUUCCCUUUAGCUGGGGAUCUCGUCUAAAAUGAAGGCAAUGUAGAUCUGAUGCCCCAUAUAUACGGCUUUCAUCGCCCUCAGAUACAUUGAUUACGUCGAGCAUGGGAGCCUCUGGAAUUGAAACCACGAGCUGCGGACAUUCUUGAAUAUAAAGAUUACAUAAACAAGGAAGGUGACUAGGCAAGGCAUUUGUUAACCCGGGACAACCUGCUAUCAAGAGCUUUGCAAGAUGAGGGAAAGCACCAUCUACAUCCGUUUCCCAUUCCUGCCAUUUUUUCAUCCCCGCAAACUCUAAUAUUUUGAGGGAUUUAAAUGGCUUCACAAUCAAAGGGUCACUUCCAUAGAACUCAGAACCAACUGCCACGACAUCAUCAAAUCCUUCAAUAUGGAGCUCUUCAAGAGAUGGCAGCUGCCCCAAUGGUGGUAAAAGGAUGCAGUUCUUACAUCCAUAAAGCAACAACAUUACUACCAUAUUUGAGAAAGAAGAGUUUCCAAGCCAGCCUGGAAACGUUGUACCCCCGUAACCACG
rnacentral:lncRNA from 1 species